ACGUAGGGUGCAAGCGUUAAUCGGAAUUACUGGGCGUAAGGCGUGCGCAGGCGGUUAUAUAAGACAAAUGUGAAAUCCCCGGGCUCAACCUGGGAACUGCAUAUGUGACUGUAUAGCUAGAGUGCGGCAGAGGGGGAUGGAAUUCCGCGUGUAGCAGUGAAAUGCGUAGAUAUGCGGAGGAACACCGAUGGCGAAGGCAAUCCCCUGGGCCUGCACUGACGCUCAUGCACGAAAGCGUGGGGAGCAAACAGG
rnacentral:rRNA from 1 species